rnacentral:rRNA from 1 species
AUGGUUAAUCACAAAUUCAGUUUCUGCUGUUGGAAUGUUCGCGGCCUUGGGCAAACCCAAAAAUGUUCACAUAUUCUCUGUGAACUCCUGGCCAUUAAUCCACAUGCUUGCUUUUUGCAAGAAACCAAGCUAGACUCCAUCUCUACUCUAAAGCAGUGUUCCUUCCUCCCUAAGCACCUGAAUCUAACCCACCCUUGACCGGCCCUUGGGUCUGCAGGUGGUAUGCUUUCGGCCUUCUCCUCGGCUCACUUUUCUCUUAUUGCUAUGGACUCCGGACUCUACACCCAAACAACCCUCGUCUCCUGCCUAGCCUCCCCUCACCCGCUUGCCAUUACCAAUGUUUAUGCUCCUACCGACCAUGCGCUCAAGCAGGAAUUCCUGUCGGAGCUCGCUACCUUCGCCCCCUCUCCUCCCACACCUUGGCUAAUCUUGGGUGAUUUCAACCUCCUAAGACUCCCCUCGGACAAAAACACGAGUAAUUUCAGGCAGUCCGAAGCAGACAUGUUCAAUUCCUUUAUUAACCAGAGGGCGCUGAUUGAGCUUCCCCUUCUGGAUAGAUGCUACACUUGGUCUAGCAAAAGAGAUCAACCCACUCUCGAAAAAAUUGACAGAGUUUUCAUCAAUGUGGACUGGGAUCUCCUCUUCCCAAACACCACCAUUUCCUCGCUCACCAGAUUGGUCUCUGAC